CCUACGGGAGGCUGCAGUGGGGAAUAUUGCACAAUGGGGGAAACCCUGAUGCAGCGAUGCCGCGUGGAGGAAGAAGGUUUUCGGAUUGUAAACUCCUUUUAUCAGGGACGAUAAUGACGGUACCUGAAGAAAAAGCUCCGGCUAACUACGUGCCAGCAGCCGCGGUAAUACGUAGGGAGCGAGCGUUGUCCGGAAUUACGGGGUGUAAAGGGAGCGUAGGCGGGACGGCAAGUCAGAUGUGAAAACUGAGGGGUCAACUUUCAGACAGAAUUUGAAACUGCUGUUCUUGAGUGGAGUAGAGGUAAGCGGAAGGCCUAGGGUAGCGGUGAAAUGCGUAGAUAGUAGGAGGAACAGCGGUGGCGAAGGCAGCUUACUGGGCUUUGACUGACGCUGAGGCACGAAAGCGUGGGGAGCAAACAGGAUUAGAUACCCGGGUAGUC
rnacentral:rRNA from 1 species